rnacentral:rRNA from 1 species
GACGAACGCUGGCGGCGUGCUUAACGCAUGCAAGUCGAACGGAGAGGCCCUGCUUGCAGGGUACUCGAGUGGCGAACGGGUGAGUAACACGUGGGUGAUCUGCCCUGCACUUCGGGAUAAGCCUGGGAAACUGGGUCUAAUACCGGAUAGGAGCCAUUUUUAGUGUGAUGGUUGGAAAGUUUUUUCGGUGUAGGAUGAGCUCGCGGCCUAUCAGCUUGUUGGUGGGGUAAUGGCCUACCAAGGCGGCGACGGGUAGCCGGCCUGAGAGGGUGGACGGCCACAUUGGGACUGAGAUACGGCCCAGACUCCUACGGGAGGCAGCAGUGGGGAAUAUUGCACAAUGGGCGCAAGCCUGAUGCAGCGACGCCGCGUGGGGGAUGACGGCCUUCGGGUUGUAAACUCCUUUCGCUAGGGACGAAGCUUUUUGUGACGGUACCUAGAUAAGAAGCACCGGCUAACUACGUG